rnacentral:rRNA from 1 species
UACGGAGGGUGCAAGCGUUAAUCGGAAUUACUGGGCGUAAAGCGCACGCAGGCGGUCUGUUAAGUCAGAUGUGAAAUCCCCGGGCUUAACCUGGGAACUGCAUUUGAAACUGGCAGGCUUGAGUCUUGUAGAGGGGGGUAGAAUUCCAGGUGUAGCGGUGAAAUGCGUAGAGAUCUGGAGGAAUACCGGUGGCGAAGGCGGCUCUCUGGGACGGUACUGACGCUGAGA